rnacentral:lncRNA from 1 species
UAAAGUCAUGCCGAUUAUAACAUGUAUAAGGUGCACAGUUUUCUCUGCUUUCAAAAUCUUUCUGUUUGAACCCGUCGACCUGGAACCUAUCAAUUGUUGGUAAUAUUAAUAAUUUGAAAACAAAAGGGCCUGGAAUGGAGUAUUUUUUACUCAACAGUAUACAGCAAAAUUCUAAAUACACUGUUUGCUGGUGCGCCUGUCAGAUGCGGAACGUACAGAUAAGGUAAUAGGUAACAGGUGAAUAUACUAUUGGUAUCGGUGUCGGACUCGAUCCGGAACUUCUUAAUUAUUGGCAAUAUUAAUUACGUGGAAAACAAACGGGCCUAGAGUGGUGUAAUUUUUAAUCAACACCAUUGUACUAUAUUAGUUAUAUAUAAAGUUUAAUUCUUUGAUUCAUCGUUUUUACGUGAUGACGGCUGACAAAUUGGACCUCGUAAUUUUAGUAUUAUAGAUAUA